GAGCGUAGGCGGUCAAGCAAGUCAGGGGUGAAAGGCAUCGGCUCAACCGAUGUAAGCCUUUGAAACUGUUUGACUUGAGUGCAGGAGAGGAAAGUGGAAUUCCUAGUGUAGCGGUGAAAUGCGUAGAUAUUAGGAGGAACACCAGUGGCGAAGGCGACUUUCUGGACUGUAACUGACGCUGAGGCUCGAAAGCGUGGGGAGCGAACA
rnacentral:rRNA from 1 species